rnacentral:rRNA from 1 species
UCCAUAAAUCCUAAAAACCUUCACCUAUACUGAGCUAUUUUAUAUGUAUAUAAAAAUUAUUAUGCUAGAACAAGUAACAAGAAACUGCCCUUCUCCUAAAUGCAAGCAUAAACCAAAACGGACAACACAUUGGUAAUUAACGUAAAUGAGUAUAAUAUAGUAACUCCCACUAGAAAAGCCUAUGUCAUUUCAACGUUAACCUUACACAAGAGCAUUACAGAAAGAUUAAAAGAGAAAGAAGGAACUCGGCAAACCUUAGCCCCGCCUGUUUACCAAAAACAUCGCCUCUUGCCCCCCCAUAAGAGGUCCAGCCUGCCCGGUGACAUAUUUAACGGUCGUGGACCCUAACCGUGCGAAGGUAGCAUAAUCACUUGUCUUUAAAUAGGGACUUGUAUCAACGGCAUCACGAGGGCUGUACUGUCUCCUUUCUCUAAUCAGUGAGACUGAUCUCCCCGUAAGAAGCGGGGAUCUAGCUAUAAGACGAGAAGACCCCAUGGAGCUUUAAGUAAGGUAUUUAACCUAUGUCUAUAAACUAGACUAUAAGGCCCUAAAUACUAACUUUAGGUUGGGGAGACCACGGAGUAUAACUCAUCCUCCGCGACUAACGGGUUACGCCCUUAUCUACGAAUCACAAUUCUAAGAAUCAAUAAACUGAUGUUUAAUGACCCGAUAAUUCGAUCAACGAACCAAGUUACCCUGGGGAUAACAGCGCAAUCCACUCCAA